CCGGCCUGCGGCCCCACAGAGCCCCGAGUCUUCGUAGUGGCCGCGGUAAGCGGGGAGGCGGCGGCGGCGACGCGGCGGCGACAUGGCCAUCGUCUCAGAAGAUGACUUUCCUCAAAGCUCCAACUCCACCUACAGAACUGCAAGCAGCUCUCUCCGAGCUGACCAAGAAGCACUGCUUGAGAAGCUGCUGGACUGUCCACUGCCCGGCCUGCAGAGGCCCAAGGACCGCUUCAGUGGUACCUAUAUCAUCUUCUUCAGCUUGGGCAUCGGUGGCCUGCUGCCAUGGAACUUCUUUGUCACGGCCCAAGAGUACUGGAUAUUCAAACUCAGCAACUGCUCCAGCCCAGCCACAGGGGAGGAGCCUAAGGGCUCGGACAUCCUGAACUACUUUGAGAGCUACCUGGCCGUUGCCUCCACUGUACCCUCCGUGCUGUGCCUCCUGGUGAAUUUCCUGCUUGUCAACAGGGUUCCGAUUCAUGUCCGCGUGCUGGCCUCGCUGACUGUCAUGCUGGCCAUCUUCGUGGUGAUGACCGUGCUGGUGAAGGUGGACACCUCCUCCUGGACCCGCAGCUUCUUCGCCGUCACCAUCGUCUGCAUGGCGAUCCUCAGCGGCACCUCCACCAUUUUCAAUAGCAGCGUCUUCGGCAUGACUGGUUCCUUCCCCAUGAGGAAUUCCCAGGCGCUGAUAUCAGGAGGAGCCAUGGGGGGCACCCUCAGUGCCGUGGCCUUGCUGGUAGACCUGGCGGGGGCCAGUGACGUGACGGACAGCACCCUGGCCUUCUUCCUGACGGCGGACGUCUUCCUGGCGCUCUGCAUCGGGCUCUACCUGCUGCUGCUGCAGCUGGACUAUGCCAGGUACUAUAUGAGGCCUGUCUGGCCGGCUGUGUUUUCUGGUGAAGAGCAGCUGCCCCAGGACUCCCCCAAUCCCCCUUUGGUGGCCCCUGGAUCCAGCGACUCCCAGACACCACCCCUCCGCCCCAUCUUGAAGAAGACUGCCGGCCUGGGCUUCUGCGUCAUCUACCUCCUCUUCAUCACCAGCCUCGUCUUCCCCGCCAUCUCCAGCAACAUCGAGUCCCUCAGCAAGGGCUCGGGCUCGCCGUGGAGCACCAAGUUCUUUGUGCCCCUCACCACCUUCCUCCUGUACAACUUUGCCGACCUGUGCGGCCGGCAGAUCACAGCCUGGAUCCAGGUUCCAGGGCCCAGAAGCAAGGCGCUCCCCGGGCUCGUGCUCCUCCGGACCUGUCUCGUCCCCCUCUUUGUGUUCUGCAACUACCAGCCUCGCGUCCACCUGCAGGCAGUGGUCUUCCAGUCUGACGUGUACCCGGUGCUCUUCACCUCUCUGCUGGGGCUCAGCAACGGCUACCUCAGCACCCUGGCUCUCAUCUAUGGGCCCAAGAUCGUGCCCAGGGAGCUGGCCGAGGCCACUGGGGUGGUGAUGUCCUUUUACAUGUGCUUGGGCCUGGUGCUCGGCUCAGCGUGCUCUGCCCUGCUCGUGCACCUCAUCUAGGAGGGGCGACGGCUAGACCUCGGUGCUGUGCGAUGCCUGGGAGCCUCAGCGAGAUGGGCAGGAAGUGCCAGGAGGGCCCAGGCGGCGAGCAGGAAGGGCUGGAGUUGGGCUCUGCAGAGCGCAGAGCACAGAGCACACCCGGGCCUCGUUGCUGCCAGGGAGCUGGGACCAGUGCUGUCCCCGGGACCAGGCAGACAUUCCAGAUACUUUGACAGAUGUCCUGAGAUGUUUUGAGGACCAAAGACACCUGAAUAAGACACAGUUAAAAGUUACACAGAAAGCUCCUUGCCGAUGGGUACAUUCUGCCUGUUGUUAUUCCCUCUUGGGGAAAGUGUUGCCAGUGUUCGGCUCUUGAGUUGUUACAGGGUUCCUUGAAGCCUCCCGCAAGGCUGUUCCUUGGGGGAGCAGGCUGACAUGGGAAUCCGAGAGAGGAAGGAACUAGAUCAGACCAGGAGUUCUUUCUCAAGAGCUGUGCAGGAAGCACAGAGCUUGCCCCGAGAAGUGGCAACCCUGAGAGCUGUGAAUCAACCGGCUCCUGCUCUGAAGCGCACCGGAUCCGAGAUGUCCUGUGGACAGCUGAUUAAACCGGGAAGCAGUCAGUAAUCCACCCAGUGGCAGCAGCUUAUCUUCCCCACCGACUCGGCUGGUACACACUCCCUCUCUUUGGCGAGGGAAUUGAAGAGGACACCCUUGAAAGGUUUUCUGAAACUUGAUACUUGAAAAAAAAAUUUUUUUAAUUUUAAAAAUAAAUUCUCCCCUCCCGUUGGCAGGAAGUUGAAAUCUC